UACGUAGGGGGCAAGCGUUGUCCGGAAUCAUUGGGCGUAAAGAGCGUGUAGGCGGCCUGAUAAGUCGGCUGUGAAAGCCAAGGGCUCAACCCUUGAAUGCCGGCCGAUACUGUCAGGCUAGAGUCCGGAAGAGGCGAGUGGAAUUCCUGGUGUAGCGGUGAAAUGCGCAGAUAUCAGGAGGAACACCUAUGGCGAAGGCAGCUCGCUGGGACGGUACUGACGCUGAGACGCGAAAGCGUGGGGAGCGAACAGG
rnacentral:rRNA from 1 species